UAAAGUUCCUUAAGUGAGCGCAGCGCUAUAUAAGUGCUGAGUAAGUGUGUUCCGAUAACACACUUACACUUACUCAGCACUUAUAUAGCGCUGCACUCACUUAAGGAACUU
rnacentral:miRNA from 1 species